GCCCGGCUAGCUCAAUCGGUAGAGCAGUUGACUCUUAAUCAAUUGGUUGGGGGUUCGAGUCCCCCGCCGGGUA
rnacentral:tRNA from 1 species